UACGGAGGGUGCAAGCGUUAUCCGGAUUCACUGGGUUUAAAGGGAGCGUAGGAGGGCAGGUAAGUCAGUGGUGAAAUCUUCGAGCUUAACUCGGAAACUGCCGUUGAUACUAUCUGUCUUGAAUACAGUGGAGAUGAGCGGAAUAUGUCAUGUAGCGGUGAAAUGCUUAGAUAUGACAUAGAACACCAAUUGCGAAGACAGCUCGUUACACGAAUAUUGACUCUGAGGCUCAAACACGUGGGGAUCAAACA
rnacentral:rRNA from 1 species